rnacentral:lncRNA from 1 species
CAACCUGCUUACAUUGGAUCUAAUUUUCAACUCAACUUCUAUAUCUUAACUAAUAAACAAACUCCUGACAGUGAGGUAAACAUCUACUGCAAAAAGAAUGAACAGACUGUUCUGAAUGUCACGGCAGGGAAUAUAAUCUAUGGCCCUCGGUUUGAGAACUGGGAUUCUGGGUCCAACGAUGCUUACAGACAGGGACACAUUUCCCUCCCCCUCACUGACCUACGCCGUUCUGAUCAGGGGACAUACCUGUGUUUCUUCGGCCCUGACCACCAGAGAGGAAAUCCAGAAGCUGUUACUGUCACUCCCAAAGAGAAGCACUGCGACGACACAGGAAGGCCAACAAUGGUGGUGGUGGUUGUUUUGGUGUUCAUCCUAGCUGCUGCUAUUUUCUAUUUUCUUGGAGGUAAAUUAAAAGAAAAAAUGGCUGCGUGGUUCAAAGGGAAUUGUUUGAGAUCUCAAGUCAGUGGCUGUCCAGAAGCGUAUCGGGAGCACAGCCAGUGAAGCCGCCGAAUACCUCUAUUGCGGCUUUAGCUCCUUUAGGCUCGGCGGCCAAGAGUCUUAUACUUCCUCAGUGUCAGAAGGCCGCCCCAACUACGCGCACUAUGCAUCCGCCCCGACUACACACACACUACAUCCGCCCCGACAACACACACUGUGUGCUGCAACAGUCGUCUCUCUCUACUCUCUACUGGACUCCGCUACCAGCCACCAGCAUGUCCUACAGCACCGUCCUGUCUCUCUCUACUCUCUACUGGACUCCACUACCAGCCACCAGCAUGUCCUACAGCACCGUCCUGUCUCUCUCUACUCUCUACUGGACUCCGCUACCAGCCACCAGCAUGUCCUACAGCACCGUCCUGUCUCUCUCUACUCUCUCCUCCGCUACCAGCCACCAGCAUGUCCUACAGCACCGUCCUGUCUCUCUCUACUCUCUACUGGACUCCACUACCAGCCACCAGCAUGUCCUACAGCACCGUCCUGUCUCUCUCUACUCUCUCCUCCGCUACCAGCAUGACUUCCACACUUCAUCGGUUUCUCUCUCUACUCUGCCACCGCUGCCAUCCAGAGGGAGGUACAGGACAGUCGGGCAGGCUGACUGUGUGGAGGAAGGACAGCAGGAAUACCAGGGGAGGAGCAGUCCAUUCUCGGGUAACGUUAUGGAGGAGGAGUCUAGAGGCGGAGCCAUCAUUUAAGGGGAGGAGUCACAAUCUUACCCAUUUAUAACUAAGCUGUUUGCUGAGAAAGGACAACUAUAACUAACAUGUUUGCUGAGAAAGGAAGGGACAAGGAAGCUGCCAACACUAACAAAGUAGCCUGAUGCCAGAUUGAGUGCUUGAGCAUUGCCAAGGAGAACUACCUUGGCCCCGAACCCCAGCCUCCAACAGACAGCCCGGACUCCUGGACUCCAACAGCCUUCCCCGGACUCCAACAGCCAGUCCGGACCACCAGAUCCC